AGCCAAGAGGAUACAAAGCAUGGAUUAAUGUUGGCAUAUCAUCCGGUGGAAUUAAGUGUUGUAUCCUGGCUAUGUUUUUCAGGUGAAAGUUGGCAGAUUUUAUUAUGGAGGAAAUCUGCUGUUUAAAUGAUUGUCCAGAGUCAAUCUGCACUCCGAGGUUUCGUACCUUUGAUGAACUAACGAUUUCAGAGCCUCCAAGCUCCAGGCCAGUUGGGUGAUCAUGGGAUAUUUUUGUUGCCCAGGGUCUCCUCACCAAGAGUAACUCUGUUUUGUCUGGGUUCACUUUAAGCCAACUAGCAUUCAUCCAUUCUAUGCAGUCUGCUAAGCAACUGUUGAUGCGGCAUGUUGGGUCUGUGGUAUCUGGAGCAAAGGAGAAGUAGAGUUGUGUGUCAUCAGCAUAACAAUGAUACCUUAGGCCAUGUCGCCUAAUGAUGUCCCCCAGUGGUAGCAAGUAAAGAGUACGAAUAGCGUGGGAGACAAGAUGGAUCCUUGUGGAACUCCGCAGGCCAGUUCUGUUGGUGCCGAUGAGCUUGAUACUGAUGUUACUCUCUAUGAUCUACCAGUGAGGAGAGAUUUAAACCAGUUAAGGACUGUGCCUCCUAGACCACAGAUGUGCUGCAAGCGCUCUAUUAAAAUCCUUUGGUCAGUGGUGUCAAAAGCAGCUGAGAGAUCCAAGAGGAUUAGGAUGGAGUAAUAACCUUUGGUUGGAUA